rnacentral:rRNA from 1 species
UCAGGACGAACGCUGGCGGCGUGCCUAAUACAUGCAAGUCGAACGGUCUUUUCUAUGGAAGCUUGCUUCCACUGAGAAGAUAGUGGCGAACGGGUGAGUAACACGUGGGUAACCUGCCCAUAAGAGGGGGAUAACAUCCGGAAACGGGUGCUAAUACCGCAUAGUUUUCUUGAUCGCAUGAUCGAGAAAGGAAAGACGGCCUUUGUGCUGUCGCUUAUGGAUGGACCCGCGGCGUAUUAGUUAGUUGGUGAGGUAACGGCUCACCAAGACGAUGAUACGUAGCCGACCUGAGAGGGUGAUCGGCCACAUUGGGACUGAGACACGGCCCAAACUCCUACGGGAGGCAGCAGUAGGGAAUCUUCCGCAAUGGACGAAAGUCUGACGGAGCAACGCCGCGUGAGUGAAGAAGGUUUUCGGAUCGUAAAACUCUGUUGUCAGAGAAGAACAAGUUGGAGAGUAACUGCUCCAGCCUUGACGGUAUCUGACCAGAAAGCCACGGCUAACUACGUGCCAGCAGCCGCGGUAAUACGUAGGUGGCAAGCGUUGUCCGGAUUUAUUGGGCGUAAAGCGAGCGCAGGCGGUUCCUUAAGUCUGAUGUGAAAGCCCACGGCUCAACCGUGGAAGGUCAUUGGAAACUGGGGAACUUGAGUGCAGAAGAGGAGAGUGGAAUUCCAUGUGUAGCGGUGAAAUGCGUAGAUAUAUGGAGGAACACCAGUGGCGAAGGCGACUCUCUGGUCUGUAACUGACGCUGAGGCUCGAAAGCGUGGGGAGCAAACAGGAUUAGAUACCCUGGUAGUCCACGCCGUAAACGAUGAGUGCUAAGUGUUGGAGGGUUUCCACCCUUCAGUGCUGCAGCUAACGCAUUAAGCACUCCGCCUGGGGAGUACGGCCGCAAGGCUGAAACUCAAGGAA